AACACGUGGGCAACCUGCCUCAUAGAGGGGAAUAGCCUUCCGAAAGGGAGAUUAAUACCGCAUAAGAUUGUAGUACCGCAUGGUACAGCAAUUAAAGGAGCAAUCCGCUAUGAGAUGGGCCCGCGGCGCAUUAGCUAGUUGGUGAGGUAACGGCUCACCAAGGCGACGAUGCGUAGCCGACCUGAGAGGGUGAUCGGCCACAUUGGGACUGAGACACGGCCCA
rnacentral:rRNA from 1 species